AUGUGUGUUUAUGUAUAUGUGUAUACACACAUGUAUAUGUGUACACACACACACACACACACACACACACACACACACACACACACACACAUUU
rnacentral:miRNA from 1 species